UACAGAGGUGGCAAGCGUUGUUCGGAUUCAUUGGGCGUAAAGGGUGCGUAGGCGGCGCGGUAAGUCGGGUGUGAAAUCUCGGAGCUUAACUCCGAAACUGCAUUCGAUACUGCCGUGCUUGAGGACUGGAGAGGAGACUGGAAUUUACGGUGUAGCGGUGAAAUGCGUAGAUAUCGUAAGGAAGACCAGUGGCGAAGGCGGGUCUCUGGACAGUUCCUGACGCUGAGGCACGAAGGCCAGGGGAGCAAACGGG
rnacentral:rRNA from 1 species